UCUAAGCUCUGUAGAAACUUCACUUCUCCUUCCCUCCAUCAAUCAUCCCCGACCGCCUCUGAGCUCAGCCUCCCUAUCAACCACCUUCUCAAUAGCCAUCAAUCAACUCUUAGUCUCUAUCUAUCUCCAUCUUAGCUUCUUCUCCCAAACAGUAACCCUAGAAGCUAUGAUUGAGAGAGAUAGAGUUAGGGUUAUCUUCAAUAGCAAAAUCAAACAUCAAAUCAAGAGUUGCAGGUAUGAAUUGCAGAAGGGGUUCGUCAGAAAACUCGUUAUGGGUACCCGAACUUUCAUUGUUGCGAACAUCAAGGAGGAGAAGGAAAAUGAUCGAAGAAAACAUGAGUAUCGUGCUUAAACCCAGUCCUGUACUGACGGUGCCUGCGAAGCUGAAGUGCAAACCAAAGGAAAGAGAGAAAAGGAGCAGAACCCAGUUGUUAUUAUGGCUAAACCCGGUUGGUGUCAUUCUCGAACCUCAUUGUAAUUUAUAUUUGUAUGAAUGAUAAACCAUGUUUGCCUGCUAACCUAGCUGCCAGACUGAACAGUAUCCAAUCCCUGCAACAUAGAGUAUCUGUUUAGGCAUAACCUUGAUGUAUCUAGAUACCAUUUUCACUGGCUGCAAGUUCCAUCUCUGUUUGUGCAUCUGUCAACUUCUGAGAUGUUGAGAAAUUUAUGCAUGCUUGCAUAGUCAAGAUACCUUUU